GUGCUUUUCUACCAGGCUUGUUAAGAGCAGUGGGGGCAAGAAAUCUUGGAUGACCUGAACUCCAGAGAGAAGUGAGCCCAUUAUGUGGCAAAAGCUGCUUCCCUGUCCUGACAGCACAAUAAAAGCUUCAAACUCGAGGAACAUGGGGACCUCACAGAGGCAGCCACAGCCGACUCAUUGAGAUGUGUGGACAGAGGAAAGCAAGGGAGGCAAGAGAAAAUCAGCACAGAGCAAACAUCAGAGAUCAAAGGACAGCAGCGGGAGUCACUGCACAGAGAAGCAGCGCACCUGUGGGUUAUCCAAGCAGCCAGGGUUCCAGAGCUUCUAGGCCAGAGCUCUGAAAUAUUCACCAAACGGUUGGCAACUUUGUCUUUUGCAUGGGAAAUAAAUAGAAAUGAAUCCUGGCCAUCUA